ACUCAGCUGAUGAGUCCCAAAUAGGACGAAGCCUGUGUUCCGAAU
rfam:Schistosoma margrebowiei strain Zambia genome assembly, scaffold: SMRZ_scaffold0000342